UCCAAGGUAGUCUAGUGGACAUGACAUCUGCCCGGUAAGCGGGACAUUGCGACAAUUGACAAUUAUAAAUGGUUUAUUAACAUCUAGUAAACAGUCAAGAGAGAGUUUACAGAGUUUAAAAUAGUAGAGAAAAUAUAUACACCAGACGAAGCCUCCUCCGAAGGUACGUCUGGAUCCUAUCAGGAGCUUAGAACCGUCUUGAGUUCAGACUUGAGAGUUAUGGAAUCCGUGUUCCCAGCGAUGACUGUGUUGAGGAACUUGACAAGAAUAAUCUUGUGUUUAGGUAAGGUAUCCGCGAGGAAACUAAGAUGGGGGUACAGGACCGCAUGCGGAACACUGUGGGUUCGAUUCCCUUCCUUGGAC